GGGGUCGACUGGUUUUGACAGCAUGAUGAAGAGUUGAGUAAGCAUGUCGGGUUUGGCAGAAUCUCCCGUAAUCGAUAUUGCAACUUUUUAGUUGGCGAAAACAACUAUGCACUCGCAGCUUAAUAGCCCAAGGCAAUUGGCUUAAUUCCUACACAAGGUGUAUGGAACGAGUACCUCCCGCACCUGGAUCGUUCAACAACGGGUGUAGCCGGAGGUCCAUUAGGUUGAACUGGUCCUAAUAAGGCUUCGGUAUUAGGAUAAGAUUAAGAAGAUAAGUUCGGAAUUCGGCUUCCUAUGGCCUGAUCCGGAUCGAAAACCAAUUGUAGGAUAAACAUGUAGAAAGCUGGAUUGUUCCAUGUUUGGACGCGGGUUCGAAUCCCGCCGACUCCACUA
rnacentral:tmRNA from 1 species